rnacentral:antisense_RNA from 1 species
AACCACAUACCCACCAUACGACUGGAAUCACACAUACACCGCCACAAGAGGUCUGCAGUGAAGGUCCCAGAGUCCCAGACAAUAAGACUGAAAGCAACACCAGCCAGUCUUGGGAAAUAUAAAAUUGCAAAUAAAUUUUGAUAAUUUUUCAUUUUGUAAAGGAUCUUUCUGCUGAUGCAGCUGUUAAGAGUGUUUCAUAAACUGUGACACUGAGCAAAAUCAUAGAAGGAAACUCUAUGGACAAUUUCAGAUGGAGAAGAAGAAAGGAUUGGAAGUUCAAUUUGGCCAUGACAAUUAGAGGCCAGGUGCAGUGCAUGUAAUCCCAGCACUUUGGGAGACUGAGAUGGGAAGAUCGCUUGAGGCCAGGAGUGCAAGACCAGCCUGGGCAACAUAGCAAGAACUUGACUCUACUAAAAAAAAAAAGGAUCCUUCAACUUCAACAAUAACAACACGAGGGAAGUGAAGAAAAACACUUUCUAAGGAAAUCUCUCUCUGAGCUACCAUCCGGCUAGGGAGAGCCUGAAAGCAGAAUGCUGACUUGACUAGCUCUGGCCAAUAAAGGAAAUCACCAGUGGAAAGGCUACCAGGGGGCUUCCUCAAAAGAGAGGGACGGUAAACUGCAAGACGAACAACUCGAUGCCAUCCAGGUCUGGAUGAGAAAGAAGAGUCG